rnacentral:rRNA from 1 species
UACGUAGGUGGCAAGCGUUUGUCCGGAUUUAUUGGGUUUAAAGGGUGCGUAGGCGGCCCUGUAAGUCAGUGCUGAAAUAUCCCAGCUUAACUGGGAGGGUGGCAUUGAUACUGCGGGGCUAGAGUACAGAUGAGGUAGGCGGAAUUGACGGUGUAGCGGUGAAAUGCUUAGAUAUCGUCAAGAACACCUAUAGCGAAGGCAGCUUACUAGGCUGUAACUGACGGCUGAGGCACGAAAGUGUGGGGAUCAAACAGG